GGGUUUUUUCGUAAAGUUAUAUGAUACACAGUUCUUGGUUAGCAAAUGGAAAAUGAAAGAUGGAUGCACAUAAUGAGGAAUAAAAAGAAGGGGUCAGAGGUUUUCUUUAUAGUGUAUUAGUUGGAAUGAAAAUAGUUGACUAAGUUCGAAAAUACGAGGUUUCGUCAUCACUAUUCUUAAAGUGUUCUUCAAAAAGGCUGAAAUCCAAAUUAACCAGGUGGGUUUGUGUUUGAGCUCUUCAUCGCCUCUGUUUUCGCUUCGUUGUUCAUCAGGUGGUGUUCAUCUUGGGUUGGAUUAGGGCACAGUAAGUGGGUGAUUUAGGACAUUUGUUUGGGUGUAAUUGUUAAUGUGUGUGACCUCAUCGAUGUCUGAUUAAGGGCUGGUGUGCUUGGGAGAUCGAUGGCUGCCGUGAGUGUUACAACAGGGCUCGGUAAGCGACCUGUUACAAGUGUUGCUUUUAAGAACUAAUAAAGUAUUUUUGGUUUCUUUCCACCCGUCACAAGUGUGUUUUGCCUGUUUAAAAUUGCUAAAAUAAAUGCAGCUGUGUUUUUGCUGAAUGUAAAGUGUUAGUUUACAUGAUUAA
rnacentral:lncRNA from 1 species